UAGCAGCACAUCAUGAAUUGUA
rnacentral:miRNA from 1 species